UGUCUCUUUGUCUGGCUUCUUUAGAGCGGGUGACUGAUUGUCCCUGCCAGCUGGCUAAUAUCAUAAUUAGCAAAGUUGCUACCACAUCUGCAAAGUUUAAUCGAAAAAUUUACCAGUGGUAUGAUGGCAUUGUCACCGCGAUCCUGAGGGAAUCAGAGUCGACUUUUGCUUCAGCUGGAAUGGCAAGGCUGUAGAGCUGAGAUGAGAAACUGUAAACUUGCUCAGCCAAAGGAAAUAAUAUGCUCCAGAGUAUCCUCUAAUUCACCGAAAAUGGACUUGGAUAACAUUUGGGUUCUCAUACUACCACAGUCCUCUUGAGAAGGACAGCCAGGAGGCUAAUAAUGAAGGGGCCAGGGAAGGAGGCCAAUGCUACAGGGUUAUCUCCUAACCUCAGAUGUUGGAUAAGUCCACAGAAACAGCAGCGCCUCUGGAUGGCUUCAGAAGGCUGGAGUGAUUGUUUGGACGAGAAAAACCCGCCUAUUCAUUCAAAGGUACAUGAAUGUUGUCGACACUGUCCCAUCUAAAGGUUCAUCCUCAGAAUCCUGCCUUAGACAAAGGAAGCGCUUGGAGCCCCACCACACCUAAAACCACGCUUUGAAGGAUCUGCCAAGCUCACUUUUAAUCAUGAGAAAGAAAUUACCCACAUGGAGACAGCAGAAAAUGAGAAAGUAGAGAUCGUGCUGCGAAUAAUUCCAGCGAGUGCCAAGGGGCUAGUUGAGGAAUGGCUUCAUGAGAUGUUAGUCUAUCUAGAACAACAGAUUUGGAUCUAAGCUGGACCUUUGAGAAAGAAAAGACUUCGAGGAAAAACACCUUUCCAUAUGUUUUAAUUACCUUUCACCUGAAUUGUUUAAUGCACACUAUCCAACUAUAUUCAUCUUUCUUGCUUCCUGUGUAUUUCUUCUUUUGCUUGAACUGCUUUAGAAUUGACUUUUGAGCUACACAGUCAUUCUGGAUUUUUAAAAAGAGAAUUCUAAUAAAAACUUAUAUGUGUUGUUAA
rnacentral:lncRNA from 1 species